rnacentral:misc_RNA from 1 species
AACGCACCUUGCACUCUUGGGUUAUUCCUGAGAGUGUGCUUGUUUGAGUGUCACUUAACCCUCAACCCCGCCUCUUUGUAAUGAAGAGGUAGUCUGGGCUUGGAUCAUGAUGCUUGUCUCUUUCAGGAGUAGACUGCAUUGAAAGACAACAAGCUGAAUCAACACACUUGCGGCUUGACCUAUUGUUGUAGUAAUAUAAAUUCAACAGGAACGCAUUAAAGUUGAACGAGCUUCAUUAAAACACAAUCAAUUUAAUUUGACCUCAAAUCAAGUAGGACUACCCGCUGAACUUAA